UCGCUUAUUGUAACAAGUAGAGCAACAUCAGUAUUGGUGCACUAUUUCAGAAUGAGGUUUGUAGUUAUUUUCUGGCUGUUGGCUUGGUGUUUUUGUUUUGUAGCUCAUAACUUGGGAUCCUAUUUCUCCCUCAUCCUCUUGAUUUUCUUCUCCCUUGCCCAGGUUUGUGACACAGAUCCCUGAGGUUGGUAGCUGGAGCAAAAGAGAUGCAGAGAAGUGAAGAUGCUGCAGCUGGGUCCAUGCUGGGUCUCUGUGGUCCUUCCCAGCAGACCCCAAGACCAGAAAAAUAAUGCUUUAAUGUAGAAAGAGCUGAAUAUACAAGGAGACACUUUAUUUGCAGAACAUCCUAUUGAAAAAAACAACAUCAGACCAAAACGUAGUGAGCUGAAUCUUCAUGUCCAAUUAAGUGGGGAAUCUCCUCUUUCCAAGCAGCAGCACUGAUACAGAGCAGUGCACACCCACUUUUAGGACACCUGGAGGAGCCCACUGCGUGCUGACUGCAUUCAUCCCACCCAGACCUCUCCUAUCUUUUUUGAUGCAGUUGUUCCUCCGUCUCACCCAGAGGAGAGGGCUGCAGAGGGGCUGCCUGCACACCCCUCCUCACACUGAGGUUUUCUGUGACACAAACUUCUGCAGCCUACUGCUGGGCCCAGCAUCCUCGUGGCAUCGGUGGCACUGCUAAGAAGUAAGAAGGACCCUGUGAAAUUGGAUGACUUCCCUCACUGAGCCAUUACAGCACUGGAACAAAACCCGGGCGCUUAACUCGUCCCUGUAAGUCAAUUCCUAAAGUAAAUGCUCACAGCAAUUACACGUGAGGGAUUGUUAAUGAGACAGGAAAUUGAUUUGCAGCUUAAUGCAACAGUGCAAA
rnacentral:lncRNA from 1 species